GACAAUUUGGUGUAGCGGUUGAGCUUUUGUCUUUAAAUCUAAUGGUCUGGGUUCAAAUCCCAGCAACUUCA